rnacentral:lncRNA from 1 species
CAAUGUCCAGGCUCUUUCAUAGCCUCCUUCCCUCCAGCUGCAAGUGUUAUUGAGUUUUUUCAGUCUCAUAGUCUCCUGGACUCUCAUUGUCUACUUAAUUUAGAGAAUUCAUCUUCAAGACAUUCAAGUUGUGAGUCAUGUUGUGGAUAAUCUUACAUCCAUGGGAGUAUAGUUCUAAAGUCUGCAUUGAUUCUGAAAAGGAGUAUGUUGUUAUGUGCACUCCUCCACUGUUGAUCUCAUUUGUGCUGUUUAACAUUGAAGAAGUGAAACCUGGAUUUGAAUGGAUCAUUUUGAAGUUUUGAAGGGCACUCU